rnacentral:rRNA from 1 species
GUUCGCCUACGGGGGGCAGCAGUGGGGGAUAUUGGACAAUGGGGGGAACCCUGAUCCAGCGACGCCGCGUGAGUGAAGAAGUAUUUCGGUAUGUAAAGCUCUGUCAGCAGGGAAGAAAGCAAUGACGGUACCUGACCAAGAAGCCCCGGCUAACUACGUGCCAGCAGCAGCGGUAAUACGUAGGAGGCAAGCGUUAUCCGGAAUUACUGGGUGUAAAGGGAGCGUAGACGGAUGUGCAAGUCUGGAGUGAUAGGCGGGGGCCCAACCC